AUUGAACGCUGGCUGCAGGCCUAAUACAUGCAAGUCGCGCGGAUCGCCGGACGGGUGAGUAAUGCCUAGGAAUCUGCCUGGUAGUGAGAGAUAACGUCCGGGAACGGAAGCUAAUACCACAGACUAUCAGUACCGCCUAGAGGGGAUUAGCUAGUUGGUGGGGUAAAGGCCUACAAAGGGGACGAUCCGUAACUGGUCUGAGAGGAUGAUCAGUCAAACUGGAAAUGAGACACGGUUCAGACUCGUACGGGAGGCAGCAGUGGGGAAUAUUGGACAAUGGGCGAAAGCCUGAUACAGCCACGCCGCGUGUGUGAAGAAGGUCUUAGGAUUGUAAAGCACUUUAAGUUGGGAGGCGUUACCAACAGAAUAAGCACCGGCUAACUUCGUGCCAGCAGCCGCGGUAAUAC
rnacentral:rRNA from 1 species